rnacentral:rRNA from 1 species
UACGUAGGGUGCGAGCGUUAAUCGGAAUUACUGGGCGUAAAGCGUGCGCAGGCGGUUCGUUGUGUCGGCGGUGAAAGCCCCGGGCUUAACCUGGGAAUGGGCGUUGAAACUGGCGAACUGGAGUGUGGCAGAGGGGGGUGGAAUUCCGCGUGUAGCAGUGAAAUGCGUAGAGAUGCGGAGGAACACCGAUGGCGAAGGCAGCCCCCUGGGCUAACACUGACGCUCAGGCACGAAAGCGUGGGGAGCAAACAGG